AUAACUUCCAGUGAUGGAUGUCUCGGCUCGAACAACGAUGAAGGGUGCAGCGAAGUGUGAUAAGCAUUGUGAAUUGCAGGAUUCAGUGAACCAACAGAAAGUUGAACGCAUAUUGCUCUUUCGGGUUAUUCCUGAAAGCAUGUUUACUUCAGUGUCUUUU
rnacentral:rRNA from 1 species